AGAGUUUGAUCCUGGCUCAGGAUGAACGCUAGCGGUAGGCCUAACACAUGCAAGUCGAGGGGUAAGGUUCAGCUUGCUGAACACACGACCGGCGCACGGGUGAGUAACACGUUUGCAACCUACCCUUAACUGGAGAAUAGCUCCCGGAAACGGGAAUUAAUACUCCAUAACAUUCAGACAGGGCAUCCUGUUUGGGUCAAAGCUCCGGCGGUUAAGGAUGGGCAUGCGUGACAUUAGCUUGUUGGUGAGGUAAUAGCUCACCAAGGCUACGAUGUCUAGGGGGUCUGAGAGGAUGGUCCCCCACACUGGUACUGAGACACGGACCAGACUCCUACGGGAGGCAGCAGUGAGGAGUAUUGGGCAAUGGACGCAAGUCUGACCCAGCCAUACCGCGUGAAGGAUGACGGCCCUAUGGGUUGUAAACUUCUUUUAUACAGGAAGAAACCUGCGAUCGUGAUCGCAGUUGACGGUACUGUACGAAUAAGCAUCGGCUAACUCCGUGCCAGCAGCCGCGGUAAUACGGAGGAUGCAAGCGUUAUCCGGAUUUAUUGGGUUUAAAGGGUGUGUAGGCUGAACAUUAAGUCAGUGGUGAAAUCUUUCAGCUUAACUGGAAAACUGCCAUUGAUACUGCUGUUCUUGAGUUCAGUUGAGGUGGGCGGAAUGUGUAAUGUAGCGGUGAAAUGCUUAGAUAUUACACAGAACACCGAUUGCGAAGGCAGCUCACUAAACUGUUACUGACGCUGAGGCACGAAAGCGUGGGGAGCGAACAGGAUUAGAUACCCUGGUAGUCCACGCUGUAAACUAUGAAUACUCGAUGUGUGCGACAUAUUGUACGCGUCUGAGCGAAAGCAUUAAGUAUUCCACCUGGGGAGUACGGUCGCAAGGUUGAAACUCAAAGGAAUUGACGGGGGCCCGCACAAGCGGAGGAACAUGUGGUUUAAUUCGAUGAUACGCGAGGAACCUUACCUGGGCUUAAAUGCAGAAUGACGUACCGGGAAACUGGUAUUCCCUUCGGGGCGUACUGCAAGGUGCUGCAUGGCUGUCGUCAGCUCGUGCCGUGAGGUGUCGGGUUAAGUCCCAUAACGAGCGCAACCCCUAUUGUUAGUUGCCAGCGGAUAAUGCCGGGGACUCUAACGAAACUGCCAGUGUAAACUGUGAGGAAGGUGGGGGUGACGUCAAGUCAGCACGGCCCUUAUGUCCAGGGCUACACACGUGUUACAAUGGCCAGUACAAAGGGCAGCUACUUGGUAACAAGAUGCAAAUCUCAAAAACUGGUCUUAGUUCGGAUCGGAGUCUGCAACUCGACUUCGUGAAGGUGGAUUCGCUAGUAAUCGCGCAUCAGCCACGGCGCGGUGAAUACGUUCCCGGGCCUUGUACACACCGCCCGUCAAGCCAUGGAAGCCGGGGGUACCUAAAGUCCGUAACCGUAAGGAGCGGCCUAGGGUAAAACUGGUAACCGGGGCUAAGUCGUAACAAGGUA
rnacentral:rRNA from 1 species